GGAAGCUUGUCAUAGACCAAGCUGGGUCUGAAUCAAUAAGGAUGUGUCAACAACUAUGAUAUUAGUUUAGGCAAAAUAGAUGGGAGUGGAAGGUAAAUGUCCCCACUCUGCAUGCUUUCUUGACAUACGCCAGCUUACUGAGGGCUGUUCAUCGAAUGAAGCUUGGGGUGUCAGCAUGUCAGGACUGAUACAGUGAUGAGACACUCUCCCUCUGCUCCUUUUCAAUUCUGUUAAAAAUAGCAGAGUAAAUCAAAUCUAUUCCUUUUAUGAAAGCAACACUGCCCUGGGGCCUUCAAGGCUCUUAUUGAGAGAUGAGUUCUAUGCCUCUCUGUGAUAUGAGUACUCGUACUGUUAUUGAAAUGGAACAAUGGCAGGCAUUCUGUGGACAGCUAGUAGCAGCUGUUGAUCAGAGCUCUAUGGCUCAGUAACUUCAAAGGAUGGAGGGGAAAGACUGUUUUUCUACCCCUCUGCUGAUAUUGAAGAGUACAGCACGUUUAGGUGAAUAAGCUGGUUUCACUUUUGUUUUUAAGAUUUACUUUUCAUUAUCUUUGAAGCUCUCUGUUCUCAUCUGCUUCCUUUUCUGUCUCCACUAACAUUGGUUCUCUGAGUCCCCUAUUCUGGGCAAUCUUGCAUUCUGUAUGGCCUUUGAUCUCCUUCUCUUGCUCCUGCUUCUGAGCCAUUUUGUCUGAGAUAGGUUCCCCCUGUCCAUCAGACCACUUCCUUGUCCUCAUUCAAAUCCCUUUAACAAAGUCUUAUUCAUCCAAGACUCUGCUUUGGUGCUCCUCUCUGCAAGCUGGUGUCAAUGUAUCCUUAAGCACCAUCUCAAAUAGUAUCUGAACUGAAACCCAGACAGGACCAAAACCUAGCAUCUUAUAUUUACCUUCAACCUGAACUAGAACCCAACCAGUCUAAGCAGAAAACUGAAAGGGUAACCAGAUACUUUCAAUAACCAGGUUUUUGGUUCUUUUUUCUAUAGAUGGUAAACAAGGGCUCUGGUAUAACCUGAGAGACAGAGUAAGAGAAAAAAAGGGGGAGUAGAAAUUUGGCUCAUAUCACCCAAUACAUACUUGCCAUCCCACCCAUAAUAAAACUGCCCAUGCAAGAGGUAGAAUGUGCCAACAACCAA